UACGUAGGGUGCGAGCGUUGUCCGGAUUUAUUGGGCGUAAAGGGCUCGUAGGCGGCGUGUCGCGUCGGGGAGUGAAAGCCCGUUGCUUAACGGCGGGUUGGCUUUCGGUACGGGCAUGCUGGAGUGCGGCAGGGGAGACUGGAAUUCCUGGUGUAGCGGUGGAAUGCGCAGAUAUCAGGAGGAACACCGGUGGCGAAGGCGGGUCUCUGGGCCGUUACUGACGCUGAGGAGCGAAAGCGUGGGGAGCGAACAGG
rnacentral:rRNA from 1 species